GAGAGGGAGCCUGAGAAACGGCUACCACAUCCAAGGAUGGCAGCAGGCGCGCAAAUUACCCAAUCCCGACACGGGGAGGUAGUGACAAUAAAUAACAAUACGGGGUUCUUUAGGAUCUCGUAAUUGGAAUGAGUACAAUUUAAAUCUCUUAACGAGGAACAAUUGGAGGGCAAGUCUGGUGCCAGCAGCCGCGGUAAUUCCAGCUCCAAUAGCGUAUAUUAAAGUUGUUGCAGUUAAAAAGCUCGUAGUUGAAUUUCGGGGUUAGUAGGUUGGUCAUGCCUCUGGUAUGUACUGGUCUCACUGAUUCCUCCUUCCUUAUGAACCGUAAUGCCAUUAAUUUGGUGUUGCGGGGAAUUUGGACUGUUACUUUGAAAAAAUUAGAGUGUUUAAAGCAAGCUAACGCUUGAAUACAUUAGCAUGGAAUAAUGAAAUAGGACGUUCGAUCUUAUUUUGUUGGUUUCUAGGAUUGACGUAAUGAUUAAUAGGGAUAGUUGGGGGCAUUAGUAUUCAAUUGUCAGAGGUGAAAUUCUUGGAUUUAUUGAAGACUAACUACUGCGAAAGCAUUUGCCAAGGAUGUUUUCAUUAAUCAAGAACGAAAGUUAGGGGAUCGAAGACGAUCAGAUACCGUCGUAGUCUUAACCAUAAACUAUGCCGACUAGGGAUCGGAUGAUGUUAAUUUUUUAAUGACUCAUUCGGCGCCUUACG
rnacentral:rRNA from 1 species